GACGUAGGGCGCGAGCGUUGUCCGGAUUUAUUGGGCGUAAAGAGCUCGUAGGCGGUUUGUCGCGUCUGCCGUGAAAGUCCGGGGCUCAACUCCGGAUCUGCGGUGGGUACGGGCAGACUAGAGUGAUGUAAGGGAGACUGGAAUUCCUGGUGUAGCGGUGAAAUGCGCAGAUAUCAGGAGGAACACCGAUGGCGAAGGCAGGUCUCUGGGCAUUAACUGACGCUGAGGAGCGAAAGCAUGGGGAGCGAACAGG
rnacentral:rRNA from 1 species